rnacentral:rRNA from 1 species
UACGGAGGGGGCUAGCGUUGUUCGGAAUUACUGGGCGUAAAGCGCACGUAGGCGGCUUAGCAAGUCGGAAGUGAAAUCCCACGGCUCAACCAUGGAAGUGCUUUCGAAACUGCUGAGCUUGAGUACGAAAGAGGAUCGCGGAAUUCCCGGUGUAGAGGUGAAAUUCGUAGAUAUCGGGAGGAACACCAGUGGCGAAGGCGGCGAUCUGGGUCGAUACUGACGCUGAGGUGCGAAAGCGUGGGGAGCAAACAGG